CGCACUGCAUGGUAUCUGCCCUCAGCAGCUCAUUCCUGCUGGGUGUUCAAAAGACAGUGCAAUAGAAACUCAGUAUCUGGUUGGUUCUCUUGGCUUCAUGCAUAGAUUUAGCUUAAAUGUAAGUAAUUUCUAGUCAUGGGGUGCCUGGUGGCUCAGUC